rnacentral:lncRNA from 1 species
UUGUGGAGUGUUGUUCUAAUUGGUUUUGUUUUUUUGGAUUACUUCUGACAGGUGAAACUUUGGUUAUGAGCUCACUGAGCAGUGCAGAUCUGGAACCUGAAAUAUCUGAGCGGAAAACUUCACUGUCAAGCCACUUCAGGAUUAAAUUGUUGAAGCAAUGAAGCUAAGGAGUUAAAGGUGAACGAUGAAACUUUUCAACUGGUACAAUAGUGCUCUUUCUUUAAGAUAAUAAGUUCAAAACUAUGAUUAUAUCUUUGAUUGGACUACAAAGAAGUUUGCAAGUCCCCCACCAUCAUAACAUUUUCCACCUAUGUUCAGCACGGUGUAACUUUUAGGCUUUUUGCUAGUUUUCUGUACAACAAUACUGAUGCUUAUUGUUGUGGGUGUCACAAGCAAAAGAAGUUUCUACUGACAUUGUAACUGGAAUUUCAUGCCCAACAUUCUUAUAAAUAUUCUAGAUUCAGUCCUUGAUGAUAUAGAAUUUUCUUACUAUUCACAUUUUGGUAGCUUCUUGUACCUGUAGCAAGUGUGAAUCUCUGAAGUUCUGUUGAACCAUAUGUCCUUGUGAAGAUGGUUUUAUCAGGCAAUCAUUUUCUCAGUGGUAAGUUUUAGGGGAUAAAAAAUACGUGAUAUUACUUGAUAUUUUCUCACUUAACCAGGUGAAUCUGGUAUCUCUUGUUUAUGAAGUGUCAUGCAAUCUUGAAUCCGUUAGGGGGAAGCCUCUAAGUCACUCUUUGGUGUGAAUAAUAACCUGCACACCCAACCAUGUUCCCAUCAGACGUGAUAUUAUUUGAAUUUUUUCUAAUUUUCCACUAUAUUCCUUGACAUCCUUGUGGGGACAAAUCUAUUUUUGGUAGAUCUCAUGAGAGACGAAUGAUGCUACAAUGGCAGCUCCACCCUCUUGGAUGCUCUCACUGAGAUAUAUAUACGAGUACUUCCCUGCUGGAUCUACUAAUAUCUACAUCUGCUGUUCUAGGUGAGCUGAGUACCAUUAUUGUUGCUACUUUGUGUUGGCUUUGUCUGCUUUGUCUGUGAAAUGCUUGGGAUUUUCCAUUCACGGAGUCAGUAUUGUAGUAUCAAACAGCUAUGAUGUAAUUAACAGCUAUGAUUAUUACAUCAGCACCUGUGUUAGGACAAAUAAGUUGCACGAAUAAUGCAUAUCUGUUGCUAAUAUUAGAAGGAGACUUGUAAAAAUCUUUUUAGUUGUUUGUUUACAUAUCAGUUGCAAAUAACCCAAGUAUAUCUUAAAAUGCUUCAUAAUAAUUUAUAUAAGAUCAGGUGUAAUAGUUUGACAAGGCAACUAUUGAGUUUGUUUGCUUCACUAGACCUGACCUGACUUUGAUUACUCCACCAGGCUCAAAUCUUUUGCAUGCCAUAGAACUUUGGAUACAAUAGCUUAGAUUGUCUUGUUCAUAAUCAACGAGUUAAGACUGGUAUACAUGAACUUGAUGGGCAUGCUAUGAGUAACUUGAAAGCAUAUUGAACCACUUGGUCAAAGGCCCAAGAACCCAGUUAUUGGAUUAGUAGGUCUAUGGAAUUGCCAAUUGUUAUUGCAUUGGUCGGAAAUGAUCUUACAUUGUGUGUUGGUCUUGAGGAGGUCGGAAGUGGGGAAAUGAUGAUGGGUGUGAUAAACAUGAUUUCUAUGAUGCUUUAAAGUUAGAAAUAAACUGUUUUGUUAUGUACCAUGCUAGCUUUGUCUUUAAUUAUAUGAACAUAACUAUUUUAGUGUAUGGAAUCAUUCAAAGUUGGUUUCUAUGUUGCUUGAGUUAGAUUACUCUUGAAUAUUCAGCAAUGAGAUGGAGCAUCCAAAUGAAGUGUCAACCUUUUCUUUAGAUCAGGUGAGUCGAGCCACAUGCACUGAGGCACCUUUGGUUUUCAUGGUUCGGAAAACAUGUCUUGCAAAGUCUAGACCACUGCAGAGCAUAUAUGGUUUUAAAUAUUUAAAUCCUUGUAAGAUUUUGUUUACAAUAUCCAUUAAGUUCUUGCAAAAUUAUUUUCUUCUAUUUUCUUUUGAUUGUUAAGUUUUUCUCCUGCAGGUGUUAUGACGGCUCUGGCAAUUGAGACAGAGUGUAAAUACUUCUGAACAGAUGCUGCGAGGAUCAAAGCAAGGGAGCCAUUGGAUACUCUGAAAAGAGGUCGUCUUCUAUCUUCUUCUUCCUCUGAAAACAGGCAAUUGGAGCGGUCGUCUGGAUGGUAAUCUAAUUGUGUUCUUGAAUACUUUGCAGCGCAUUUCCAAAACCUUUGAGGUUGAUAUCUGCCAGCAACAGUGAAAAGUUCUUGGUAUGUACUUUGGAGUGAAACAGAGGAAAAGGCACAUCGAUUGGAGCACUCGCAACGGGGAAGAGCUCGUCGCAAGCAGAGGUCGAAUUCUUUGCAAUGGCAAGCAGAGAUUCAUGUGGAGAAGAAUCAGACCCCUUUUCCCUUCUGCUAAUUAAUUUAUCUGACUUGUACGAACAUCGAUGGUGAUUUCCAUGAUAUGUUGUUGGAUUCUAAUAUCAUGAAACAUGAAAUGUCAAGCAAGCUAUAGGAAAGUCGAACGACUCCCUCAUAACGAUAAUAAUAAUAAU